UCACCCUUCCCCAGGAAGCUCCAAGCUCCAUAGCUGCAGCAAACCAUCUCUUGGUUGACGAUGCCAACAGACACUACCUGGACCUGGGAACUUCACGGCUCACAGAGGAGACAAAAGCCUGACUGGGGUCAGUGGGCCCAUCACACCGUGGCAGGAGAGGGAGCCCCUGAGACGAGACCCCAGUGAGAGAAGAAUGGCACAGGAAGUGGGAUACAUCAGCUGCCACAGUCAACACCUAGAAUUUCCAACUGUGGAGGACCAUGGAGACAGGCGGGGCUGCAUCCAAGGCACGAGCCGAUCCUACUUGCUUCCCUGCUGGCUAGUGCUGUCAGUCUGAUACAACCUGCAAUGAUCUGAGAAGAGGGAGCCUCAAAAGAGAAAAUUCCCUGACCAGAUUGGCUGGUGGGCAAAGCUGUGGUACACUUUAUUGGUUGAUGACUAUUGAGGACAGGUCCAGCGCAAUGUGGAGGGUGCCACCUCUGGCCUCUUGGUCCUAAAGCAGGCUGGGUCGUUAGGGACAAGCCAGUAGGGACAAACACCCAUGGCUCUGCCUUGACUUCUGUCAGCAAUGGGGUAUGAUCUGAGAGUUGUAACUGGAAAUAAACACUUUC